AAGUCGUAACAAGGUUUCCGUAGGUGAACCUGCGGAAGGAUCAUUAUUGAAUAAACUUGGUUGGGUUGUUGCUGGCUCCUAGGAGCAUGUGCACGCCUAAUCCAUUUUUAACCACCUGUGCACCUUUUGUAGACUUGAAUAGCCUUCGAGACAAAUGUACUCGGUUUGAGAAUUGCUGUGUGAAAAGCUCAGCUCUUCUUGUGUUCAAGUCUAUGUUUUAUAUUAUACCCCAUAAGAAUGUAUUAGAAUGUAAUGAACAGGCCAUCGUGCCUUUAAACACAAAUACAACUUUCAACAACGGAUCUCUUGGCUCUC
rnacentral:misc_RNA from 1 species